rnacentral:rRNA from 1 species
CUGAAUAAGAGGGUGAAAGAGAACCUGAAACUGUGUGCCUACAAGCGGUCGGAGCGAAAGUGACGGCGUGCCUUUUGCAUAAUGACCCUACGAGUUACGGGUGCUAGCAAGGUUAAGGAUUUAAGAUCCGUGAGCCGCAACGAAAGUGAGUCUUAACAGGGCGAAUAGUUAGUACUUGUAGACGCGAAACCGAGUGAUCUACCCAUGGGCAGGUUGAAGCUGUGGUAACACAUAGUGGAGGACCGAACCAGUUGACGUUGAAAAGUCUUUGGAUGACCUGUGGGUAGGGGUGAAAGGCCAAUCAAACUCGGAAAUAGCUCGUACUCCCCGAAAUGCAUUUAGGUGCAGCGUUGAGUAUAGUUUUAUAGAGGUAGAGCUACUGAUUGGAUGCGGGGGCUUCACCGCCUACCAAUUCCUGACAAACUCCGAAUGCUAUAAAAUGAUUCUCAGCAGUGAGGGCAUGGGUGCUAAGGUCCAUGUCCGAGAGGGAAAGAACCCAGACCAUCAGCUAAGGUCCCCAAAUAUAUACUAAGUUGAACUAACGAGGUUCGAUUGCACAGACAGCUAGGAUGUUGGCUUGGAAGCAGCCAUUCAUUUAAAGAGUGCGUAACAGCUCACUAGUCGAGCGAUCGAGCAUGGAUAAUAAUCGGGCAUAAGUAUAUUACCGAAGCUAUGGCUUCUAUACACGAGUAUAGAGGGGUAGGGGAGCAUUGUAACAGGGUUGAAGGUGUACCGUCAGGUAUGCUGGACUGGUUACAAAAGAAAAUGUAGGCAUAAGUAACGAUAAUGCGGGUGAGAAACCCGCACACCGAAAGACUAAGGUUUCCUCAGCUAUGCUAAUCAGCUGAGGGUUAGUCGGGACCUAACGCGAACCCGAAAGGGGUAGUGGAUGGACAACAGAUUAAUAUUUCUGUACUACUUUAUAUUGCGAUGGGGUGACGGAGUAAUGACAGCACCGCGAACUGACAGAAUAGUUCGUUAAACUGAAUAGGUAUAGGCUUGAUAGUUAAAUGCGUCAGGUUUGCUGAAUCAGGAUAGUACCACAAAGGUUCGCCAGCGUGGAUAGUGUGUGUAAAGGCUUCCAAGAAAAACCUCUAAGCUUCAGAUAUAAAGUACUCGUACCGUAAACCGACACAGGUAGUUGGGAAGAGAAUUCUAAGGUGCUCGAGAGAUUCAUGGCUAAGGAACUAGGCAAAAUAGACUCGUAACUUCGGGAGAAGAGUCGCCCCCACUUAAUUGUGGAGGCCGCAGAGAAAUGAUCCAGGCGACUGUUUAUCAAAAACACAGGGCGAUGCUAAAUCGAAAGAUGAUGUAUAUGGCCUGACACCUGCCCGGUGCUGGAAGGUUAAGUGGAGUUGUUAUCUUCGGAGAAGCAAUGAAAUGAAGCCCCAGUAAACGGCGGCCGUAACUAUAACGGUCCUAAGGUAGCGAAAUUCCUUGUCGGGUAAGUUCCGACCUGCACGAAUGGUGCAACGAUCUGGAUACUGUCUCAGCCAUGAGCUCGGUGAAAUUGUAGUAU